CUGAGCAGGCUGCCAGUUCCUGGUGUAGGCGACGUGGCCAUGGCUACUGUCAAGAAGGGCAAGCCUGAGCUCAGGAAGAAUGUGCACCUGGCAGUGGUAAUUCGGCAGCGGAAAUCGUACCGGAGAAAAGACGGGGUGUUCCUCUAUUUUGAAGACAAUGCAGGAGUGAUAGUAAAUAACAAAGGGGAAAUAAAAGUCUCAGCAAUCACAGGCCCUGUGGCUAAGGAAUGCGCAGAUCUGUGGACCAGGAUAGCCUCCAAUGCUGGCAGCAUUUCAUAAACCUGCUCCAUCCUCGUUAAAAUAAAAGAAUAGUGGUUGCACCA